UACGUAGGGGGCUAGCGUUGUCCGGAAUCAUUGGGCGUAAAGAGCGUGUAGGCGGUCCGGUAAGUCCGCUGUGAAAGUCGGGGGCUCAACCCUCGAAUGCCGGUGGAUACUGUCGGGCUAGAGUGCGGAAGAGGCGAGUGGAAUUCCUGGUGUAGCGGUGAAAUGCGCAGAUAUCAGGAAGAACACCCGUGGCGAAGGCGGCUCUCUGGGACGGUACUGACGCUGAGACGCGAAAGCGUGGGGAGCGAACGGG
rnacentral:rRNA from 1 species